rnacentral:lncRNA from 1 species
CCCUUUUGGGUAGGGGUAAGACUGCCUACAUAUUACCCUCCCCAGACCCCACCUGGUGGGAGUAUACUGGGUAGUUGUUGUUGUUGUUGUUUGGCUCUCACAUGUUCUGUGCAUCAUGCAUUUUAUCUGUCAUAUCGUGACCCUUGUAACCUUUCUGCCACUUCUCCUGCCAAAAUUUUAUUUUGGUCGUCCUUCCUUCAGUUCAUUACUUCACCCUAUGAAGCUCUUUGCUUGUUCAUGUCUUUUUACAAACUUGUCCCUUUUUUUUAACACGGUGAUUAUACCUGCUUUGUGGCUGUCUGGAACAGUUUUUGGGUUAUUAGAUCUGAUCUGUUGGGAGUUCAGUAAUAAGUAUUCUUCAAGGUCUAAGAGUAACAUUUCUGAUUUGACAUUAUAGUGGUCAUAAAUUAAAAUCACAUUAGAGUUCUGUAAUAUUUCUGGCCCAUUCUGAUUCUCACCAUCCAUUUUCAUUAUUAAUUCUAUACCUGUUUUGUGGCUGUCUGGAACCGUUUUUUGGUUAUUAAUUCUAAUCUGUUGGGAGUUCAGUAAUAAGUAUUCUUCAAGGUCUAAGAGUAACAUUUCUGAUUUGACAUUACAGUGGUCAUAAAUUAAAAUAUAUGAGCGUAGUAAGUCUACGUGUACCUCAUAGUAUACUAGUUAAUACUUACUAACCAUAAUUUAUGUAUUUUUGUCAAAUACACAUAAUGAUAUUACUCUCUGAGUACUUGAGAUGCUUAUUUGUUGUAGGUUCUUUCGGUCAGCCUAUAACUUAUAUGUGCUGCCACGCUACUGUAACCUUAUCCAGUUGAGUCAAUGCUUGUUCCCCAAUGUUAGUCAUGGCAGUGUCUGUACGUGAUUAUUACAUAAACGAAAUGUCUGAAUUGCUUAUAGAAUCGCCUAGUAGGAAAACACAACGUAAUGUUUUUCUUUUCAAGAGCUUUAUCGUUUACUCCCUUUGUUUCAUUUACUCGGUGUUUGAUUGGGCAAGGAGUUUAGAAAAUAAAUAAGGACCAUUGGUAUAUACCAAAGGUACCCCUUAGAAAGGUGCCGGUCUUUCUGUAACAGACUAAAAUGAAAGAAGUGUUACAUCAAAUGGAACCAGCGGAUUAAAUUAUUCUAAGCCUACCAUUCUCACCUCACACUUUUCCAUGAUUAUUAGGACAAUUCCGGUCAGAUUGCCAUUGCUAUUGUACAUCAUUGAAGUGACUCAGUUUUGUGCCAAUCUUAAAGUUUGCUUGUCCUGGGUCUUUUUCUAGGUUGUCCAUCCCAAGUGUUUUUUCCAUCUUCUUGGGGGUUAUCCUCUCUUUUUGAUUUUGGGGUCUGUUUAAGAAUGUCUUAUAAGGAGAACUUCAUGCAUCUAUAAAAGUACAACCCAGUAUAAUCCCACUUAGUGGGGUAUGGGGAGGGUAGUAUGUACGCAGANNN